UACGGAGGGAGCUAGCGUUGUUCGGAAUUACUGGGCGUAAAGCGCGCGUAGGCGGCUUUGUAAGUUAGAGGUGAAAGCCCGGGGCUCAACCCCGGAAUUGCCUUUAAGACUGCAUCGCUUGAAUCCGGGAGAGGUGAGUGGAAUUCCGAGUGUAGAGGUGAAAUUCGUAGAUAUUCGGAAGAACACCAGUGGCGAAGGCGGCUCACUGGACCGGCAUUGACGCUGAGGUGCGAAAGCGUGGGGAGCGAACAGG
rnacentral:rRNA from 1 species